CAAAGGCCCCAAAGGAAGCCACGGCUAACUCUGUGCCAGCAGCCGCGGUAAUACAGAGGUGGCAAGCGUUGUUCGGUAUUAUUGGGCGUAAAGAGCACGUAGGUGGUUCUGUAAGUCAGAUGUGAAAGCCUUCUGUUCAAAGGAAGAACGGCAUCUGAGACUACAGAUCUUGAGUGUAGGAGGGGAGAGUGGAACUUCUGGUGGAGCGGUGAAAUGCGUAGAUAUCAGAAGGAACGUCGGCGGCGAAAGCGACUCUCUGGCCUAUUACUGACACUGAGUGUGCGAAAGUUAGGGGAGCAAACGGGAUUAGAUACCCCGGUAGUCCUAACUGUAAA
rnacentral:rRNA from 1 species